CAGCCAAGCGUGAAAAAAAGAUUCCAAACCUUUUCUCCCCACCACCUCUCUCUCCCCCGGUUCAGAACUCUCAAGGUUUCACCUGAGAUCCAUCACCACAAGGCGGCCACCGCCGCCGUCAAAUCCAGAGAGCUCCGAUGCUCCCCUGCACCACCCCUCCCGGUCCAUCUCCCCCUCACCAUUCUCCUCUGAGUCCCCACCGUCGCGACGUCCUCCAGAUCUCUGCACGCGCCACCGCAGAAACCUUAGGCGCUACGGGCCACUGGCGCUGCUCCGGCGGCUCUACUUUGUCCGCCUAAUAACCUCCGCGCCACCACACACACGGGUGCCGGCUACGGCUCCACGCGGUGCUGCUCCACCUCCGCUACAUCGACUCAGACGCCGACGGUUCAGCACUCCUCUCCUCUGCUCUUACCCUCUGGCGCUUUGUGUGGCAUGAUGCCAUGCCUAAUUCUUUGCCGGCCAAUGCAACGGCUGGACAACAAGCUAUCAUGGUGAGUGACCAUGAUGGAGGCCCAACAAUCCCACUUCACCUUCCAAUUUCAGUUUCGGGCUUGCAUCUUUGAAUUUGUGAUCUAGUUGUACGUAUGAAAGUUUUCUCUAGCCGGGUUGAUCUAUUUGCAUGCAUGAUUGAGUGAUUCACCACUUAUAUGUAUGUGUUAUGUUAGGAAGAAUGAUUGUGUCCUCUUCUUAUCAAUAAUUCUAUCUUGUGAUGCACUAGGUUUUAAUUUUUCUUGCUGCUAGUGCUUGGAUAAUUAGUCAAUAUUUUUGUGAAGAUCAUCCUUGUAAAUCAGUUAACUAAAUAAGCAGAUGGUAUCGUCGGAUAUGCUAGCUGUGAGAUUGUGACUAGUUAUCAAAAAGCAUUCCUUUUACAUCAGUUAAAAGGUUAGCACAGUAUAUUAUCUUUGCCAUCAUGACUAUCUCUGGGAGGGAAUAUGAAUAUCUUCUUACCAGUGUGUCGAAUCCUUAUAGUUUCCUUUUUGCACGCUCUGUAAUACUACAUAAAUAAGCCCGUAUGUAUCUCUCUGUCCUAAUAUUUCUCUUUAUUGUAUAAUCCUUAAUCCAGGCAACAUUUGUGUGUUUGUUCUUUCUCUUAACAUAUAAAUCUUUAGGUUCUGAAUGAUGAUACUAGAUAGUGACUAUGGUAUGGCUUAUCAUCCUCUGAAUUAGACUUGCAAAACUUAAAUGUGCUAGCAUGUGCUUAUGAAAUGAGUUCAUAAUUCUUUGCAGUAACAAAAUUUCCUAGAUAAAAGAUCAGGGCAAGGCUACUUCUGCAGAGAGAGGUACGACUCUAUUAUUCAUGUAGGCUUGAACGUUUUAGGUACAUGACAUAAUCUGGAAUAUAAUUUAAAACUUAGGUGAAGAAGUUCUAUGUAUUCACUAUUCAGAUUAUUAUUAUUGGCAAUCAUCUGUAUAAAUCAGAGUCAAGAGAAAACACACUUGUUAACAUUUAAUACGGCUACAUGCCUACAUCUACAUUUAGCUUAGUGCGAAUUGUUUUCUCUCAAUUUCAAGUACUUCUGGAAAUUCUCCAUCUCUGCGUUUCUAUGUAUUUUUUAGACUGCAGAUCUGCAUUUGCAACGAAGGAUGCUCUACUUUGUCAACGCACAUAUUUUUUUAGCAUGAAUCUCCACCUUAUCUUCAUUAUAUUUAAGGUGUUUAACUCAAUUAACAUAUGGCUAAUCUGUUCUUAAGAAGCAAAUAUCAAGGUUGGUUGAACAAUGUAAGUCAGUGCUCUUUUUUCUGUCUAAUAAUUAAGUGUUUAGUGCUAUGGUUGUGACUGUAAAAGGUGUUUCGGACAAAUUACGAUAUAUCAUAGGUGAUGACGUAUUUAGGAUGAUGGAACAAUUUUUCUGUUCUGGUGCUUGCUUUCUCAACUAAUGUGUUCAGAGAAGUGAUACUUCAACUAAUGUGUUCAGGGAAGCAACUUAUUGUAUCUGAAGUGAAGCUUUCUUUAUUAUAUGGAGACGCAAGCAUCAAACAAACAUCCAACUACAAAUAAGAUUGCAAGAUAAAAUGAUGAUGCAUGUCUCAGAUGUUGAUCGCAAGAUUGAGAAGGCAGCUGCUACUAGAUAGUUCCAGAUUAGGCUUUAGAAUGUAAUUGUCAGGGUUGAUGUUUCAAACAUGAUGUUUAGAAUGGCUGAAAUGUUGAUUGCAAGGUCGAGAAUCAGACUACUACUAGAUAGGUCCAUAUCUUGUAAUCUUUUGUACCAUGUUCUUUGUAAAUCAACUGAAUUGAUUAAAUAUAUGAGACAUUUAUGAUUAUUAUGUUGUCUC